UAGGGAAUCUUCCACAAUGGACGCAAGUCUGAUGGAGCAACGCCGCGUGAGUGAAGAAGGUUUUCGAAUCGUAAAGCUCUGUUGUUGGUGAAGAAGGAUAGAGGCAGUAACUGGUCUUUAUUUGACGGUAAUCAACCAGAAAGUCACGGCUAACUACGUGCCAGCAGCCGCGGUAAUACGUAGGUGGCAAGCGUUGUCCGGAUUUAUUGGGCGUAAAGCGAGCGCAGGCGGAAUGAUAAGUCUGAUGUGAAAGCCCACGGCUCAACCGUGGAACUGCAUCGGAAACUGUCAUUCUUGAGUGCAGAAGAGGAGAGUGGAACUCCAUGUGUAGCGGUGGAAUGCGUAGAUAUAUGGAAGAACACCAGUGGCGAAGGCGGCUCUCUGGUCUGCAACUGACGCUGAGGCUCGAAAGCAUGGGUAGCGAGCAGGAUUAGAUACCCUGGUAGUCCAUGCCGUAAACGAUGAGCGCUAGGUGUUG
rnacentral:rRNA from 1 species